rnacentral:rRNA from 1 species
GAUGAACGCUGGCGGCGUGCCUAAUACAUGCAAGUCGAGCGAAUGGAUUAAGAGCUUGCUCUUAUGAAGUUAGCGGCGGACGGGUGAGUAACACGUGGGUAACCUGCCCAUAAGACUGGGAUAACUCCGGGAAACCGGGGCUAAUACCGGAUAACAUUUUGAACCGCAUGGUUCGAAAUUGAAAGGCGGCUCCGGCUGUCACUUAUGGAUGGACCCGCGUCGCAUUAGCUAGUUGGUGAGGUAACGGCUCACCAAGGCAACGAUGCGUAGCCGACCUGAGAGGGUGAUCGGCCACACUGGGACCGAGACACGGCCCAGACUCCCACGGGAGGCAGCAGUAGGGAAUCUUCCGCAAUGGACGAAAGUCUGACGGAGCAACGCCGCGUGAGUGAUGAAGGCUUUCGGGUCGUAAAACUCUGUUGUUAGGGAAGAACAAGUGCUAGUUGAAUAAGCUGGCACCUUGACGGUACCUAACCAGAAAGCCACGGCUAACUACGUGCCAGCCGCCGCGGUAA